UGGGGAAUUUUGGGCAAUGGGGGAAACCCUGACCCAGCAACGCCGCGUGAAGGAUGAAGUAUUUCGGUAUGUAAACUUCGAAAGAAUAGGAAGAAUAAAUGACGGUACUAUUUAUAAGGUCCGGCUAACUACGUGCCAGCAGCCGCGGUAAUACGUAGGGACCAAGCGUUGUUCGGAUUUACUGGGCGUAAAGGGCGCGUAGGCGGCAUGACAAGUCACUUGUGAAAUCUCUGGGCUUAACCCAGAACGGCCAAGUGAUACUGUCGCGCUAGAGUGCAGAAGGGGCAAUCGGAAUUCUUGGUGUAGCGGUGAAAUGCGUAGAUAUCAAGAGGAACACCUGAGGUGAAGACGGGUUGCUGGGCUGACACUGACGCUGAGGCGCGAAAGCCAGGGGAGCAAACGGGGAUUAGAUACCCCAGUAGUCCCUGAGCGGGCUGGCAAGGCGCAU
rnacentral:rRNA from 1 species